UGGGGAAUAUUGCACAAUGGGCGGAAGCCUGAUGCAGCGACGCCGCGUGGGGGAUGAAGGCCUUCGGGUUGUAAACUCCUUUCGACAGGGACGAAGCUUUUGUGACGGUACCUGUAUAAGAAGCACCGGCCAACUACGUGCCAGUAGCCGCGGUAAUACGUAGGGUGCGAGCGUUGUCCGGAAUUACUGGGAGUACAGAGCUCGUAGGUGGUUUGUCGCGUCGUCUGUGAAAUUCCGGGGCUUAACUCCGGGCGUGCAGGGGAUACGGGCUGACUUGAGUGCUGUAGGUGAGACUGGAAUUCCUGGUGGAGCGGUGAAAUGCGAAGAUAUCAAGAGGAACACCGAUGGCGGAGGCAGGUCUCUGGGCAGUAACAGACGCUGAGGAGCGAAAGCAUGGGUAGCGAACAGG
rnacentral:rRNA from 1 species